rnacentral:lncRNA from 1 species
CUCCCUCCCUGCCUUCCCUUCCUUCCUGCCUUCCUUCUUCCUUCCUCCCUUUUUUCUUUUCUCCCUUCCUUCCUUCUUAAUAUGUUUUUGGCCUUUUCUUUAUAUAUGUGGCCUAGCAAUAUCCUGUGUUUGGAAAAGUAUAAACCUAAGGCAUCACCUUUACAGAAAAUAUCUUCCACGGAAACAUCUAAAGGCAAAAAUCCUUCAAAUUCAAAUUUAUCCAAUCAUUUCUUCUGCUUACUACCAUCCUAAAUCAUUUUUCUUUAGUAAGAUCUAUUAGUGUGAAGCUAUUAAGCUAUUAAUGUAUGUAUCAUAUUAAUGUAUUAAGACAUUAAGUGAGGAAGUAAAGUUGCAUUCACAGGCCUUGAACUUUUCCACAUCUCGAUUUUUACCCAUCAUCUCUGCAUAGUUCCCUAAGGCAGCCUUCAAAUGGUGAUGUUUCUUAUAAUCCAGAGUUCAGAAGUGGCUUCUCUUCAAUCUUUCUGUGGAAUUCUAAACCACGUGAUAAAGGAGCUGGUGCUGUCCUGGGUGGCAUGAGAACCAUGGGCUGAGGAUUGGACAAGCUUGCUCUACAAUAUUCACAGGCCACAGAUCAGCCCUGGGGUUCAGAGGGAUCCUGACAGCUACUCCUCAAGAUCCUCUCUGUUGUGAUUCAUCCCCCCGGGGCCCUACAGUUUCUCCUU